AUAUCAGAACUUCGUAUGUGGGAGUCGCAUAGAUCGAAAGGGCCGAGAGGUCCUCCAACCGUUCUUCGGAACCUGCACGCGGCAUCCUUGGGAAGCCCAUGUGAAUCCAAGGACAGAUGUUCUUGGCUUAUUUCCCACUAAAAUCGGUCGAAUCCGCUCACCCUCUUUCAGGCAAACCAACGGCGCUGACCGCUCGGGAAGAUCCAUCGGACAAAUGACACUCUGCAGAGCCCGUCCGUGAAUGAAAUGUAAAUUCACACUUAACGGGGAUGGGCAUCAUCCUCAGCCGAUUGAUGGCUGACUGUUUCAUCAGCACUUAUACUUUACAUACAACACACAAUUGGGCCACCUUUUCCCAUGGGCUCUGGAAGACAUUUGCUUUGAUCAUCUCAUAAUUCAUGAUCCCCACAGGUAGGCCACUGACCUGUCUAUGACUUGCAUCUCUGAAGACUUUGGUGUGCUCGCUUCCUGUAUGGAUCAAUUAUUUUCUUUUAAUAUCUAAACUUAUUUUUGUGUCUUCAAAUAAUCUGAUACGCAUACAUUCCUGAAAGUAUUGGGGUAUUUCCUAUUUGACGUUUUGUUCUCUGUUAUUCGAACUUCAUUACAUUGUCAUGCUUAAGCUAA